rnacentral:lncRNA from 1 species
AGCGACGAAAUCGGACGCCAACGCGCCAACCCGCCAACUGCGAAGCUCUUGUUCGGAUGCGUGCUUCAACGCAACUCGGCUGCUAUGUGUGUAAAAUCUGGCUUGUUUUCCACGCCUCGAGAAAUUCCGUUUGCACUGGAGGCCUGGCUUUAGCAUCCGUCACGGACUUUACGGAGAGGUGGAGACAUACAUGAAUAAUGGCUUGUUCGACGGUGCCGCGGACGUCACCGGCGAUCUGAGAGGGCACUGCAAGGAGUGCGAAUGCAAUGGUUUUCAGCGCCUUGUUGAUCUGGCCAUGACAAAGUACCUAUUGGCUGGUGCAUUCUCUGUGGACACUCGCCUGCCUCACAUGGACCUCUCGUCAGCCUCUAAGAAGGUGCCCAAGACGGAUGUCUGCAGGAAGCUGGAUCUUGCAGUGCACCACAAUAGUCUUUUGCUAGACAAAUAUGUGGCCAGUGGUCAACAGACACCACAACUUACCCAGAAAGAGGGCCUGCGCAAUCUGUCGAAGAUUAUUCUUUGACAGUGCACCAGGCAAUGAAGUUCGGCACCCAGGAAGUGCUUCCGCCCCUGUACUGACGCAAGGGGCCGAAGAAAGUUUUCGUUCAAGCACCUCGACCCAGCUACAUCAUAAGUGUGUACACUGCGACUUUUCAUCUUAUUAUUUUAGUCGUUUUCCAUCUCACAUAAAGGUUGCUCAUCGUUCUGUUAAAAAGUACACCUGUGCCCUUUGUAAGGUCACUUUUGCAGCUGUUACCCGUUAGAAACAGCAUUUUGAUGAAUUUCACAUCUUGAUCGUGGCCAGUGAAGAGCAGCAUUUGAUGAGUAGCGACAGUGAAAUGGUCCACCAGGACAUGAGCAUUGAAACUGAGGUCUCAGAAUUUUAGCCGUCUGUGCUCAAUGAUGAAGCAAGGCUCUCCGAUCUGUUCAGGCUUUUGGAGGGUGAGCACAUAUGUGCAAAAAAGCUAUCAGUGCUGUUGUCAAAAACAUUUCGGAAAUGUUCCACGCCAAGGGCCUUCAGCUAGACGCAUCAGGUUUAACUGACAAAGCAGGAAAACGUCAGUAUGAACGUAAUAAUAUAUAUGUUAGACCUUCUAAAAAAAGAGUUCCAAUGGUUCCCAUAGUUAUUAUGUAUCACUAAGGACACUCUUAGAAACCUUGUACCAACAUCCAGAAACAAGUAGCCAUCUUCAGCAAAAGUUUGUCAUCUCUGAAGAUGGUUUCCUCAGGGACCUGUGUGAUUGUUUAAGGUUCAGGCCCCAUGCUAUACUGAAUAAUCAGGACAGUGGCCUUGGCAUGCUUCUAUACUGCGACGAUGUAGAAAUUGCCAACCCUUUGGGCAUGAAACGAGGCAUGCGUGGAAAGCUCACACUGUUUUAUGUAAUAUUUGCCAGCUUUCCUCCCCCAAGCAGGUCUCAGCUGAACUCAAUUUUUUCCUUGCUGUUGGUUAUACGAACGACCUGAAAACACUAGAUGAUAAAGCAGAACUGCUUCAAGAUUUUAUUCAGACAGUGAAUGAACUGUCAGACAAAGGAAUCUCAUUCAAAGUUCAGGAUAGAGAAAUCAAGACCUAUGGCUGUCUCCUUGCAUUUCUCUGUGAUAGUUUAGCAGCACAUAAUAUUGCUGGCUUCAAGGAAUCAUUUACGCCACUCGUUCGUUAUGCGUGCCGCCGCUGCAAUGCACUCACGAGUGAUUUCCCUAAGAUUUGGUUACACUCUGACUGCCGUUUGAGAAGUGACAGUGAAAUUCAAG